rnacentral:rRNA from 1 species
UACGGAGGAUCCGAGCGUUAUCCGGAUUUAUUGGGUUUAAAGGGUGCUCAGGCGGGCCAUUAAGUCGGCGGUGAAAUUUUGCGGCUCAACCGUAAAAGUGCCUUCGAUACUGGUGGUCUUGAGUGUGGAUGAGGUAGGCGGAAUUUGUGGUGUAGCGGUGAAAUGCAUAGAUAUCACGAGGAACUCCGAUUGCUAAGGCAGCUUACUAAGCCAUAACUGACGCUCAAGCACGAAGGCGUGGGGAUCAAACAGGAUUAGAUACCCCCGUAGU